CCCACUGGAUCCAUAUGCCUUUCCAUACAGGAGGAGGUAAAGUCUUCUGUCAAGUGCCCUCUGUAAAGACCUAAAGGAAACAAAUUCAGAUGUCAUAAUUAUUAUACUCAAGGUCCCAUUAAUGUAUAAUUAUUAUACUCAAGGUUCCAUUAUUAUACUCAAGGUUCCAUUAUUAUACUCAAGGAUCCAUACGAGGUUGUUACAUUUAAAUCUCUGAUCUUCAAUUUGUUACCACAAAAUCACUCAUUUUAAAAACAUUAAAUUACCCCUCAAGCAAUUUUCCAUCCAUUUCUCCAGCAUAACUAAUACAUGUCAGUACCACGAUAUAAAAAUAAGAAAUUAAGAUAAAAAGUGCCACAUAAGAUAUUCACAAAAUUAUCUUUCAUCACACACCUCAUGUUGGAGAGAGAGAGAGAAUGUUAUUAAUAUUUUAUAUGAUACUUUGAUUUUUUUAAAAUUUCUUAUUUCUGUACUGUGGCACUGUUCCAUAUCAGUUCUAUUGGACAAAUGAACGGAAAAUGUCCAGAGUGAUUUUUAUGAGACAUUUUAAAAAAUGAGAGACUUUUGUCUAACAAAUUGAAAAUGAGGGAAUAAAGAGUAACAACCUCCAAAACUGAGGGACGACUGAUAUAAAGCCCUCUAGGUUCCUAAGAGAUGAGCUCAAUAUGAUUUAAGCUAUUCUAUUAAGGAAAAGGAGGAAAAGGAAAAACACCCAAGCAUGCGUAUGCACAAAAAGAAAAAAGAGAUUUCAUCAGCCAGUGUAGAGAUUUUGCCCUGAGAUCUGAGUUCUUAGAUAACUUUAGAAAAAAAUGGAGGAUUGUUAUAAAAGGAACAAAUAUCCAGUGCUGUAUUAAGGUGAAUCAAAUUCACCAGAUACUGUAGUGCUAGAUC
rnacentral:lncRNA from 1 species